AAGACGUAAGCCGAAAAGUCAACAAUAGAGUAGGCA
rfam:Flavobacterium sp. 316 scaffold_8, whole genome shotgun sequence.